rnacentral:rRNA from 1 species
CCAUACCAUGCUGAAUAUACCGGUUCUCGUUAGAUCACCGAAGUCAAGCAGCAUUGGGCGCGGUCAGUACUUGGGUGGGUGACCACAUGGGAACACCGCUUGCCGU